AAACUGUGUGAGCGAAGUCUUUUUCAUUUUCUUUUGGCCUCAGAGAGCACCGGGGAAAGUGUGGGAGUGGCUGUGUGCUGCUGCAGAUGCUGCCGUGUUGAUGAGACGACGAGAGAGGCUCCAAGCGAGGUCCAUCCAGCAGUGAGUUCCUCUCCUCCCACCAGCCCGGCUUAGCACAGCACUCGUGCUGCAGCCACCCUGCCAGAACCCCCUGGGUUAGGAACAGAAACAUUGCUGUGGAAGAAAUUAUUAAUGAGCUCGGAACAAAUCAUGGAGUUAGUUGACACCACCUUGUCCUUUUCAAGUGAAGUCUACUAUUAAUCGACAUAGUCUACUGGUUCUCUAUGUGCAGUUCUAGCAGGUAUUUGUAAUUAAUUUUAUUUGACUUUUAAAG
rnacentral:lncRNA from 1 species